rnacentral:rRNA from 1 species
UAGGGAAUAUUGCACAAUGGGCGAAAGCCUGAUGCAGCGACGCCGCGUGAGUGAUGAAGGCCUUCGGGUUGUAAAGCUCUGUGAUAAGGGAAGAUGAUGACGGUACCUUAUCAGAAAGGACCGGCUAACUUCGUGCCAGCAGCCGCGGUAAUACGAGGGGUCCAAGCGUUGUUCGGAAUCACUGGGCGUAAAGCGGGUGUAGGUGGCUCUGCAAGUCACAUGUGAAAGCCCCGGGCUCAACCCGGGAAGUGCAUGUGAUACUACAGAGCUUGAGUAAGGGAGAGGAUGGCAGAAUUCCAGGUGUAGUGGUGAAAUACGUAGAUAUCUGGAGGAACUCCGGUGGCGAAGGCGGCCAUCUGGCCCAUUACUGACACUCAGACCCGAAAGCGUGGGUAGCAAACAGG